UUGUAGAAAGAUAAGUUCAAUUGUAAUUACUGUUUUCUCUAGUGAAAUACUUCUUAGCUUCCUUUCUUCUCUCUUAAUUUUUCUCUGAAUCCUUGAUUUCUCUGUUUCUUGAUUCUCUAUUGUGAGUGUUAAUAUGGUAUUGAGAGCCAGUAUCGCUUGCGUGGCUGAUGCUGGAUUCUUCUUAUGCUGUUAACUUCACUGGAAAAGAGACAAGGUAACAGGGGUGAUACUUCAUCAAGGAAAGAGUAGCAAUAAUGAACUGUUCAAAGUUCCUGUAUAUAUUUUUCCUACAUUGUUGAAUAAAGGUGGUUUGUCUUUUGCUUUCUUGGGGCAUGCAGUGAGGAGUACCCUGUGGCAUCAAAGGCUUGGGCACCCUUCUAAUAAGGUGUUGACUACUAUGCUAAGAGAUUCUAAAAAUUCUUGUAUUACAGAUGAUCAUGUGAAAGUUUGUACACAUUGUCUAGAUGGAAAGAUGAGUAUGAUUCAUUUUCCUGAGUGAUUAGAUAAGAUUGAGGUUCAUUUUCAUAAGAUUCACACAGAUGUGUGGGGGCCUUCACCAACUAUGUCUCUUAAGGGCUUUAGAUAUUAUGUGUCUUUUAUAGAUGAAGCCACUAGGAUUGUAUGGAUUUACCUUUUAAUCAAUAAGUUGAAGUUUUUGGAACA